GACGAACGCUGGCGGCGUGCUUAACACAUGCAAGUCGAAUGGAAAGGCCCUGCUUUUGUGGGGUGCUCGAGUGGCGAACGGGUGAGUAACACGUGAGUAACCUGCCCUUGACUUUGGGAUAACUUCAGGAAACUGGGGCUAAUACCGGAUAGGAGCUCCUGCUGCAUGGUGGGGGUUGGAAAGUUUCGGCGGUUGGGGAUGGACUCGCGGCUUAUCAGCUUGUUGGUGGGGUAGUGGCUUACCAAGGCUUUGACGGGUAGCCGGCCUGAGAGGGUGACCGGCCACAUUGGGACUGAGAUACGGCCCAGACUCCUACGGGAGGCAGCAGUGGGGAAUAUUGCACAAUGGGCGGAAGCCUGAUGCAGCAACGCCGCGUGCGGGAUGACGGCCUUCGGGUUGUAAACCGCUUUCGCCUGUGACGAAGCGUGAGUGACGGUAAUGGGUAAAGAAGCACCAGCUAACUACGUG
rnacentral:rRNA from 1 species